UACGUAGGUGGCGAGCGUUGUCCGGAUUUACUGGGCGUAAAGAGCGCGCAGGCGGUCGUUCAAGUCGCGUGUGAAAGCCCCCGGCUCAACUGGGGAGGGUCACGCGAUACUGAUCGACUCGAAGGCAGGAGAGGGAAGUGGAAUUCCCGGUGUAGUGGUGAAAUGCGCAGAUAUCAGGAGGAACACCAAUGGCGAAGGCAGCUCGCUGGGACGGUACUGACGCUGAGACGCGAAAGCGUGGGGAGCAAACAGG
rnacentral:rRNA from 1 species